AUUGAACGCUGGCGGCAGGCUUAACACAUGCAAGUCGAACGAGUGGCGGACGGGUGAGUAAUGUAUGGGAAUCUAGCUUAUGGAGGGGGAUAACUACGGGAAACUGUAGCUAAUACCGCGUACAAUAGGGUGAGCCCAAGUGGGAUUAGGUAGUUGGUGGGGUAAAGGCUCACCAAGCCAACGAUCUCUAGCUGGUUUGAGAGGACGACCAGCCACACUGGGACUGAGACACGGCCCAGACUCCUACGGGAGGCAGCAGUGGGGAAUUUUGGGCAAUGGGGGAAACCUGACGCAGCCAUGCCGCGUGAAUGAAGAAGGCCUUCGGGUUGUAAAGUUCUUUCGGUAGCGAGGCGUUAUCUACAGAAUAAGCACCGGCUAACUACGUGCCAGCAGCCGCGGUAAUAC
rnacentral:rRNA from 1 species